rnacentral:rRNA from 1 species
GAUGAACGCUAGCGAUAGGCUUAACACAUGCAAGUCGAGGGGCAGCACGGGAUUAGCUUGCUAAUCUUGGUGGCGACCGGCGUAAGGGUGCGUAACGCGUAUGCAACUUGCCUGUCAGUGGGGAAUAACCCGGAGAAAUCCGGACUAAUACCGCAUACACUUUAGUUUCUGCAUGGGGACUUUAGGAAAGAUUUAUUGCUGACAGAUAGGCAUGCGUUCCAUUAGAUAGUUGGUGAGGUAACGGCUCACCAAGUCGACGAUGGAUAGGGGAGCUGAGAGGCUUAUCCCCCACACUGGAACUGAGACACGGUCCAGACUCCUACGGGAGGCAGCAGUGAGGAAUAUUGGUCAAUGGGCGAGAGCCUGAACCAGCCAAGUCGCGUGAAGGAAGACGGUCCUAUGGAUUGUAAACUUCUUUAGUAGGUGAGAACAAGCCGUUACCCGUAGCUGUUAAGCCAGCUACCUAAGAAUUAGUAUCGGCUAACUCCGUGCCAGCACCCGCGGUAAUACGGAAGAUACGAGCGUUUAUCGGAUUUACUGGGUUUAAAGGGUGCGUACGUGGCUUUAUAGUCAGUGGUGAAAGCUGUGGCUCAACCAUAGUCUUGCCGUUGAAACUGUGGAGCUUGAGUGCGGAUGAGGUAGGCGGAACGCGUAGUGUAGCGGUGAAAUGCAUAGAUAUUACGCAGAACUCCGAUUGCGAAGGCAGCUUACCAAACCGCAACUGACACUGAAGCACGAAAGCGUGGGUAUCAAACAGGAUUAGAUACCCUGGUAGUCCACGCAGUAAACGAUGAUUACUCGGAGUAUGCGAUAUAUGGUAUGCUCCCAAGGGAAACCGAUAAGUAAUCCACCUGGGGAGUACGCCGGCAACGGUGAAACUCAAAGGAAUUGACGGGGGCCCGCACAAGCGGAGGAACAUGUGGUUUAAUUCGAUGAUACGCGAGGAACCUUACCCGGGAUUGAAAUGUACAUGACGGUUUGGCGAGAGCCUGACUUCCCUUCGGGGCAUGUAUGUAGGUGCUGCAUGGUUGUCGUCAGCUCGUGCCGUGAGGUGUCGGCUUACGUGCCAUAACGAGCGCAACCCACAUCGUCAGUUACUAGCAGGUAGAGCUGAGGACUCUGACGAGACUGCCGUCUUAAGGCGCGAGGAAGGUGUGGAUGACGUCUAAUCACCACGGCCCUUACAUCCGGGGUGACCCACGUGUUGCCAAUGGUAGGGACAAAGGGCAGCUACCUGGCGACAGGAUGCGAAUCUUCCAACCCUAUCCUCAGUUGGAUCGGAGUCUGCAACUCGACUCCGCGAAGGUGGAUUCGCUAUUAAUCCGCGCAUCCCCCAUGGCGCGGUGAAUACGUUUCCGGGGCU